rnacentral:lncRNA from 1 species
AUGGAGGGGAGCAGCCCCAUCACCCCACAGCUCCCUCCCUGCUGCCUGGUGGGCUGGGGACAAGCAGAGCAUCCCCAGGGGAUCCCCGUCUCCACCGGGACCCAUCCUCAUCCCAAGCCCACUCGCCCCCAUCCCAUCCCCUGCUCUCUCGGGGGGCGCGCACAGCCCUGGCGCUGCUCCCACCUUCCUGCUCUGCAGCCUUUCCUGGGGGCCGCUUGGCUCGGUGAGCCGAACCCUCCCCGGGGGGUUGUUUUGUUUUGUUGUGUUCUGUUCUGCAGCCAGGGAGCCGGGAGGACGGCGGGGCUGGGGGAAGCGCAGGCGGCUCCUGCUCGCCUGGGACUUCCCCGAGGACACCGCAGCCGGCACCUGCCCCGCUCCCGGGGCAUGAGCCUCGUCGGCAUCGCGGCCGCCAGCACCACCUCCUCCUCCACACCCAGAUGUGGCCUCAGGACCGGCGCUGGUGGCACCUCGGCUCCCGACGUCCCUCGUCCCAGCUGCAGAGCCACCGGGGGCCUCCUGCAGGGAAGGUCAGAGCAGCUGAGCCGGGCUGAAAAAUCUGCAAGCGUACAGCGCGCUAAGAGGGCUGUCCCCGUGCCUGGAGCUGGCUGGGAAAGGAGGCUGGAGGAGGUGGCAGGAAGGAUGCACAGCCCCUCUCCGCAGCACCAGCUCUCUGCCACGCUGCCAGCCCGCCUGCAGCAUGCAGCCAGCCCAGUCCUUCAGCACCUGUGUGUGAUCUCCCUGUGGAGGAGAGCAGAUGCUGGCCACAGCCAGGCCGUGGAGGAACCAGAGGGAGAUGCCACCCAUGCAGGGGACGAGCGGGGAGACCUGGCACCAGAGCCCAGCCUGGCCUCACGGAGAAGCCCCAAGGCCGGCGAGCCUCCUGCUGCAGAAAGGGCCAUGGGGCACAGCCACCUCUGA